UACGGAGGAUGCGAGCGUUAUCCGGAUUUAUUGGGUUUAAAGGGUGCGUAGGCGGGAUGCCAAGUCAGCGGUAAAAAUGCGGUGCUCAACGCCGUCGAGCCGUUGAAACUGGCGUUCUUGAGUGGGCGAGAAGUAUGCGGAAUGCGUGGUGUAGCUGUGAAAUGCAUAGAUAUCACGCAGAACUCCGAUUACGAGGGCAGCAUACCGGCGCCCUACUGACGCUGAGGCACGAAAGCGUGGGAAUCGAACAGG
rnacentral:rRNA from 1 species